rnacentral:rRNA from 1 species
GAUGAACGCUGGCGGCGUGCCUAAUACAUGCAAGUAGAACGCUGAAGCUUGGUGCUUGCCCCGAGCGGAUGAGUUGCGAACGGGUGAGUAACGCGUAGGUAACCUGCCUCUUAGCGGGGGAUAACUAUUGGAAACGAUAGCUAAUACCGCAUAAAAGUCGAUAUCGCAUGAUAUUGAUUUGAAAGGUGCAAAUGCAUCACUAAGAGAUGGACCUGCGUUGUAUUAGCUAGUUGGUGAGGUAACGGCUCACCAAGGCGACGAUACAUAGCCGACCUGAGAGGGUGAUCGGCCACACUGGGACGGAGACACGGCCCAGACUCCUACGGGAGGCAGCAGUAGGGAAUCUUCGGCAAUGGGGGCAACCCUGACCGAGCAACGCCGCGUGAGUGAAGAAGGUUGUCGGAUCGUAAAGCUCGGUUGUAAGAGAAGAACGAGUGUGAGAGUGGAAAGUUCACACUGUGACGGUAACUGACCAGAAAGGGACGGCUAACUACGUG